GAUUUCUUUGGGGUUUUAAUGAUACAUGUUUGACUCCCUUAAACAAGGUCUCAUCGAGUCUUGUGUAUGGUAAAAACACCUGCUUGGGGUU
rnacentral:pre_miRNA from 1 species